ACUCAGCUGACGAGUUCCGAAUAGGGCGAAACGCACGUCCUAGAU
rnacentral:hammerhead_ribozyme from 1 species